rnacentral:rRNA from 1 species
GUAGGUGGCAAGCGUUGUCCGGAAUUAUUGGGCGUAAAGCGCGCGCAGGCGGGGUCCUUUAAGUCUGAUGUGAAAGCCCACGGGCUCAACCGUGGAGGGUCAUUGGAAACUGGGGGACUUGAGUACAGAAGAGGAAAGCGGAAUUCCAAGUGUAGCGGUGAAAUGCGUAGAGAUUUGGAGGAACACCAGUGGCGAAGGCGGCUUUCUGGUCUGUAACUGACGCUGAGGCGCGAAAGCGUGGGGAGCAAACAGGAUUAGAUACCCUGGUAGUCCACGCCGUAAACGAUGAGUGCUAAGUGUUAGGGGGUUUCCGCCCCUUAGUGCUGCAGCUAACGCAUUAAGCACUCCGCCAGGGGAGUACGGCCGCAAAGGCUG